UUCCUAUCCCUCAGAAAUGCAUACAUGCUUAGAAGAAAAUGAGUAACUCUGGUCCUAAUUGUUUCCCUACUCUUCUCCAUGGUAGCACAAGAAACAGAAACGUUCUCGCCUCUUCGCACCCCUCACUUAUCCUGAGAGGUAACAUGAUGAAAAUCAGGGAUCCUAGGAAAGAAAAUGGACAAGUCCCUGAUACUCCAAUAUGUGGAUGCACUCCCGAUAAAUCAUGAAAAAGAAAUGACAGUAGACUACUGGUUCAAAAUACUCUCUUCUAUCCAAAAAGGCCAAGAGAUGCAAAAGAUUAAUCAUGAACCCAGUUGCCCAGAGGAGGAAAAAAAAAAAUCUGUUGUAGACGGGAGAAGCAAGAAGUUAUAUGAACACCAAGAGGCCGGCAACAUGAGUGUGGCCUGAGUCCGACGCCUUCGCCCACCCUCUUCCAGAUCACCUGAUCCGAAAGAAGUUCCGAAAAUAGCUCAGAAUCUGGGCCUGCCUGGAAGAGACAUAAAGAUUCAUUUACAUGGGAAGGUGACUGCUCUGAAUAUCCACAGACGACCAAUCUAUGCUAAUGGUUCAGUCUCCCUCAAAUCUGGAAUUUAUAUAACUGGCUCCUACCCUCUGUCCUUGCCAGCAGAAAUGCCUGAAUUAUCUUAAUUCCAGAAUGUAAAUUAUUCCAAUUUUGAGGCCAUCAUUUUAAAGCUGUCAAAGUCAAUAUUUUUAACAGCCUAGAAAAAAAUUACAACUGGAAAAUGUCUAAACAAGUUGUGCUUGAGGUCUUGAGGCAACUUCUGGCAAAUAUCUGUGCUGAGGUGGAUAAAUACCCUACACUAAUUUCACAAUGAAAGAAGAACAUAAAUUUCUCUCAACAC
rnacentral:lncRNA from 1 species